CCUACGGGUGGCAGCAGUGGGGAAUAUUGGACAAUGGGCGAAAGCCUGAUCCAGCCAUGCCGCGUGUGUGAAGAAGGCCUUCGGGUUGUAAAGCACUUUCAGUGGGGAAGAAAGCCUUGGGGCUAAUACCCUCGAGGAAGGACAUCACCCACGGAAGAAGCACCGGCUAACUCCGUGCCAGCAGCCGCGGUAAUACGGAGGGUGCGAGCGUUAAUCGGAAUUACUGGGCGUAAAGCGCGCGUAGGCGGUCUGAUAAGCCGGUUGUGAAAGCCCCGGGCUCAACCUGGGAACGGCAUCCGGAACUGUCAGGCUAGAGUGCAGGAGAGGAAGGUAGAAUUCCCGGUGUAGCGGUGAAAUGCGUAGAGAUCGGGAGGAAUACCAGUGGCGAAGGCGGCCUUCUGGACUGACACUGACGCUGAGGUGCGAAAGCGUGGGUAGCAAACAGGAUUAGAUACCCGAGUAGUC
rnacentral:rRNA from 1 species